AAAGUUGGAACCUGGCUGCCCUAGGCAGUCCGGAUUGUAAACUAAAGAGCGUGAUUCCAGGCAAGCCGGUUGAUCAAGUCCUUUGGAAUGAGGCGCCACUGAGGGUGAGAGCCCCGUAAGUCGACUGAGCAUUUGUCUUUUGUGUUUCGCGUUCAAAGAGUCAGGUUGUUUGGGAAUGCAGCCUAAAGCUGGUGGUAAAUCCCACCUAAAGCUAAAUACAGGCGAGAGACCGAUAGCGAACAAGUACCGUGAGGGAAAGAUGAAAAGAACUUUGAAAAGAGAGUUAAACAGUAUGUGAAAUUGCCAAGAGGGAAGCAUUUGGAGUUAGAUUGACUAGGAGUUAAUCAGCUUGGUCUUUGGACUGGGUGUACUUGACUUCUAUUGGUCUGCCAAUAGCAGUUAGUCCUAGUGGAAAAAACUAGAGGGAAGGUAGUCCUUCGGGAUGUUUAUAGACCUUUGGAAAAUACACUGGGAUUGACUGAGGAAUGCAGUAGAUGCCACUAAGGCUUCGUCUAGUGGGUGCUAGGCAAAGGUACUUGGUAUUUUCAGCUUGCUGAUGUGCUAGGUUACCCGAGUCUAG
rnacentral:rRNA from 1 species